rnacentral:rRNA from 1 species
AUUGAACGCUGGCGGCAGGCCUAACACAUGCAAGUCGAACGAGUGGCGGACGGGUGAGUAAUGUCUGGGAAACUGCCCGUUGGAGGGGGAUAACUCCUGGAAACGGUAGCUAAUACCGCAUACUAUCGGAUGUGCCCAGAUGGGCUUAGCUAGUAGGUGGGGGAACGGCUCACCUAGGCGACGAUCCCUAGCUGGUCUGAGAGGAUGACCAGCCACACUGGAACUGAGAAACGGGCCAGACUCCUACGGGAGGCAGCAGUGGGGAAUAUUGCACAAUGGGCGCAAGCCUGAUGCAGCCAUGCCGCGUGUAUGAAGAAGGCCUUAGGGUUGUAAAGUACUUUCAGCGGGGAGGCGUUACUCGCAGAAGAAGCACCGGCUAACUCCGUGCCAGCAGCCGCGGUAAUAC